rnacentral:rRNA from 1 species
GACGAACGCUGGCGGCGUGCCUAACACAUGCACGUCGAACGGAAAGGCCCUGCCUUUGUGGGGUGCCCGAGUGGCGAACGGGUGAGUAACACGUGAGUAACCUGCCCUUGACUUUGGGAUAACUUCAGGAAACUGGGGCUAAUACCGGAUAGGAGCUCCUGCUGCAUGGUGGGGGUUGGAAAGUUUCGGCGGUUGGGGAUGGACUCGCGGCUCAUCAGCUUGUUGGUGGGGUAGUGGCUUACCAAGGCUUUGACGGGUAGCCGGCCUGAGAGGGGGACCGGGCAGAUUGGGACUGAGGUACGGCCCAGACUCCUACGGGAGGCAGCAGUGGGGAAUAUUGCGCAAUGGGCGGAAGCCGGAUGCAGCAACGCCGCGUGCGGGAUGACGGCCUUCGGGUUGUAGACCGCUUUCGCCUGUGACGAAGCGUGAGUGACGGUAAUGGGUAAAGAAGCACCGGCUAACUACGUG